GGAAGUAAAAGUCGUAACAAGGUUUCCGUAGGUGAACCUGCGGAAGGAUCAUUAUUGAAUUUUGAAUGGGGUUGUAGCUGGCCUUUCAAAGGGCAUGUGCACGCCUCGCUUCAAUCCACUUACCCCUGUGAACACUCYGUAGGUCGGCUCAAGGGACAAAUYCUUAACGGGGUUUGUUUUGGGCCUUCCUAUGUUUUAUUACAAACGUUUAAAGUCUAAAGAAUGUACUCGCGUCUAACGCAUUAUAUACAACUUUCAGCAACGGAUCUCUUGGCUCUCGCAUCGAUGAAGAACGCAGCGAAAUGCGAUAAGUAAUGUGAAUUGCAGAAUUCAGUGAAUCAUCGAAUCUUUGAACGCACCUUGCGCUCCUUGGUAUUCCGAGGAGCAUGCCUGUUUGAGUGUCAUGGAAUUAUCAACUUGUUUAUCUUUGUAUGAACGCAGUUGGAUUUGGAGGCCAUUGCCGGAUUGUAAUGACUCGGCUCCUCUUGAAUGCAUUAGCUCGAACCUUUGCGGAUCAGCUUUUGGUGUGAUAAUUGUCUACGCCGCUAACUGAGACRCAUGAAUGGGAUYGGCUUACAGUCGUCCUUGAACGGACAAUUUAUUAUGACUUCUGACCUCAAAUCAGGUAGGAUUACCCGCUGAACUUAAGCAU
rnacentral:rRNA from 1 species